rnacentral:rRNA from 1 species
AGAAGGCCUUCGGGUUGUAAAGCACUUUUGUCCGGAAAGAAAACCUCUUGGUUAAUACCUGAGGGGGAUGACGGUACCGGAAGAAUAAGCACCGGCUAACUACGUGCCAGCAGCCGCGGUAAUACGUAGGGUGCAAGCGUUAAUCGGAAUUACUGGGCGUAAAGCGUGCGCAGGCGGUUCGCUAAGACACGUGUGAAAUCCCCGGGCUUAACCUGGGAACUGCAUUUGUGACUGGCGGGCUAGAGUAUGGCAGAGGGGGGUAGAAUUCCACUUGUAGCAGUGAAAUGCGUAGAGAUGUGGAGGAAUACCGAUGGCGAAGGCAGCCCCCUGGGCCAAUACUGA